rnacentral:rRNA from 1 species
GAUGAACGCUGGCGGCGUGCCUAACACAUGCAAGUCGAGCGGCAGCGAGGGGUGCUUGCACCCUGUCGGCGAGCGGCGGACGGCUGAGUAACGCGUGGGAACGUGCCCCAAAGUGAGGAAUAACUGCCCGAAAGGGUAGCUAAUACCGCAUAUUAUCUUCGGAUCAAAGGAUUUAUCCGCUUUGGGAGCGGCUCGCGUCGGAUUAGGUAGUUGGUGAGGUAAUGGCUCACCAAGCCGACGAUCCGUAGCUGGUCUGAGAGGAUGACCAGCCAGACUGGAACUGAGACACGGUCCAGACUCCUACGGGAGGCAGCAGUGAGGAAUCUUCCACAAUGGGCGAAAGCCUGAUGGAGCAACGCCGCGUGCAGGACGAAGGCCUUCGGGUUGUAAACUGCUUUUAUAAGGGAGGAAUAUGACGGUAACUUAUGAAUAAGGAUCGGCUAACUACG